AGAGUUUGAUCCUGGCUCAGGAUGAACGCUGGCGGCGUGCUUAACACAUGCAAGUCGAACGAGCCUUCGGGCUAGUGGCGGACGGGUGAGUAACGCGUGGGAAUCUGCCCUCAGGAGGGGGAUAACGGCCGGAAACGGCCGCUAAUACCCCAUAUGCCGAGAGGUGAAACGAAUUUCGCCUGAGGAUGAGCCCGCGUCUGAUUAGCUAGUUGGUGAGGUAAUGGCUCACCAAGGCAUCGAUCAGUAGCUGGUCUGAGAGGAUGAUCAGCCACACUGGGACUGAGACACGGCCCAGACUCCUACGGGAGGCAGCAGUGGGGAAUUUUCCGCAAUGGGCGCAAGCCUGACGGAGCAACGCCGCGUGAGGGACGAAGGCCUCUGGGCUGUAAACCUCUUUUCUCAAGGAAGAAGACAUGACGGUACUUGAGGAAUAAGCCACGGCUAAUUCCGUGCCAGCAGCCGCGGUAAUACGGGAGUGGCAAGCGUUAUCCGGAAUUAUUGGGCGUAAAGCGUCCGCAGGCGGCCUUGAAAGUCUGUUGUUAAAGCGUGGAGCUCAACUCCAUUUCAGCAAUGGAAACUACAAGGCUAGAGUGUGGUAGGGGCAGAGGGAAUUCCCGGUGUAGCGGUGAAAUGCGUAGAUAUCGGGAAGAACACCAGUGGCGAAGGCGCUCUGCUGGGCCAUAACUGACGCUCAUGGACGAAAGCCAGGGGAGCGAAAGGGAUUAGAUACCCCUGUAGUCCUGGCCGUAAACGAUGAACACUAGGUGUCGGGAGAAUUAACCCUUUCGGUGUCGUAGCCAACGCGUUAAUUGUUCCGCCUGGGGAGUACGCACGCAAGUGUGAAACUCAAAGGAAUUGACGGGGGCCCGCACAAGCGGUGGAGUAUGUGGUUUAAUUCGAUGCAACGCGAAGAACCUUACCAGGGUUUGACAUCCUGCGAAUCCUUUGGAAACUUAGGAGUGCCUUCGGGAGCGCAGUGACAGGUGGUGCAUGGCUGUCGUCAGCUCGUGUCGUGAGAUGUUGGGUUAAGUCCCGCAACGAGCGCAACCCACGUCUUUAGUUGCCAGCAUUUAGUUGGGCACUCUAGAGAGACCGCCGGUGAUAAACCGGAGGAAGGUGUGGAUGACGUCAAGUCAUCAUGCCCCUUACAUCCUGGGCUACACACGUACUACAAUGCUACGGACAAAGGGCAGCAAACUCGCGAGAGCUAGCAAAUCCCAUAAACCGUGGCUCAGUUCAGAUCGUAGGCUGCAACUCGCCUACGUGAAGGAGGAAUCGCUAGUAAUCGCAGGUCAGCAUACUGCGGUGAAUACGUUCCCGGGCCUUGUACACACCGCCCGUCACACCAUGGAAGUUGGCCAUGCCCGAAGUCGUUACUCCAACCCGCAAGGGAGGAGGACGCCGAAGGUGGGGCUGAUGACUGGGGUGAAGUCGGAACAAGGUA
rnacentral:rRNA from 1 species